rnacentral:rRNA from 1 species
GAUGAACGCUGGCGGCGUGCCUAAUACAUGCAAGUCGAGCGAACAGAUGAGGAGCUUGCUCCUCUGACGUUAGCGGCGGACGGGUGAGUAACACGUGGAUAACCUACCUAUAAGACUGGGAUAACUUCGGGAAACCGGAGCUAAUACCGGAUAAUAUAUUGAACCGCAUGGUUCAAUAGUGAAAGACGGUUUUGCUGUCACUUAUAGAUGGUUCCGCGCCGCAUUAGCUAGUUGGUAAGGUAACGGCUUACCAAGGCAACGAUGCGUAGCCGACCUGAGAGGGUGAUCGGCCACACUGGAACUGAGACACGGUCCAGACUCCUACGGGAGGCAGCAGUAGGGAAUCUUCCGCAAUGGGCGAAAGCCUGACGGAGCAACGCCGCGUGAGUGAUGAAGGUCUUCGGAUCGUAAAACGCUGUUAUUAGGGAAGAACAAAUGUGUAAGUAACUAUGCACGUCUUGACGGUACCUAAUCAGAAAGCCACGGCUAACUACGUG